rnacentral:rRNA from 1 species
GGAUUAGAUACCCUGGUAGUCCUAGCCGUAAACGAUGGGCACUAAGCAGAGGGCCUCCCAAGGGUUCUCUGCCGUAGCUAAUGUGUUAAGUGCCCCGCCUGGGGAGUAUGGUCGCAAGGCUAAAACUCAAAGGAAUUGACGGGGGCUCACACAAGCGGUGGAGUAUGUGGUUUAAUUCGAACAACGCGCAGAACCUUACCCGGUCUUGACAUAUACGAAUUAGCCUUAUGAAAGUAAGGUGACUCCCUUCGGGGUGGAACGUAUACAGGUGUUGCAUGGCUGUCGUCAGCUCGUGUCG